GCACAGGCAAUGGUGGUGGCGGCAGCAGUAGUCUCCUCUCAGAGUCUCGUCCCUUCCAAAAACUCUAGCGCCUACCUGUCUCCUCUAUCUGCACAGGGGCAACCAGCUGGGAUUAUGGUUUUUGGGGAGAAAGGGGACGGGGAAGGAGAUAUGGUGUGCCGCCAUCGCCACUAGCCACUCGCCACGGUCCUCUUUAGUCUUGUCUUCAAUUUCUCUCGUCACUUCUAUUUUCCCCUCGGAUGAGAGCUCUCUGGAUACUCGGAUGGAUUUCUAGGGGCUCGUGGCUCAGGAAGAACAAAGGGCAAAGGAAGGAGAUGAUGCGCACAUGAGGAAAAGCUACAAGCCGCACAAGCCCCUUUUUCUUCCUUCUCCUUCUAUCAGCCUUAAUCAAUGGGAUUUAUUUGUGUAUUUCUCCACAUGCGUUUUUUCUUAUCAAUUUUCUAGAAUAUGCUGGUGCCUGUACCCAAGGACUUCCUUCAGAUUAUACAGUUGAAGAUGGUGGUCGUGCAGUGGAGGACAUGUUUCAGCAAGAAAGAUUUAUCAUGUAUGAAAGCCAAGACCAGAAUAUGAAUAUUUUGCUUGCAUCCCUUAGCUGUGUGCAAAGCCGUAAAUGCCAGCUACAACUCAAUGUGGUCUGCUAUUCAUGUAUGGAUUAACUCUUUUCCGAGGCAAAAUGCUGACUUGGUCAUGGUUAUAUCACAAACAAAUAUGACUGCUUGUAACCGUAUGUUACAUCUAAUUAUUCACUAAUCAUUGUUGAAGGUAAUUUAUUUUGAUCUGGCGAUCCAUAGCAUCCCUUGUGAUUCCACCUUAUACAUUUAUCUGAAAGCAUGAAGCAUUUGGCUUUAACUGAUCCAUUAAAUUACCUGAUGUAGCAAAAAAUAAUUAGUCCAUUUUUAUUGUUCUUUUCAUUAAUCUUUCGCAAAUUAUGUAUUACCGAUAUCGAUGGAUUUGAACACCACAUCCAUUACUUGGUACCAUGCUGUUUAUUUUCGUUCUAUCUAAAGUUAUAUUAUUGUGUUCUUUUUUUUUUGUUUUCUGUGAAUAUAUUAUGGUGUUCCGGAUACUUCUUUAUUUUCAUGGGUGAAUAAAUACAUGUAGAUUUAUACGCUCAACACCUUUUUUUCCUAGGAAUCAGUGUUGCGAAAAGAGAGUUAUGUUGGUGAAAGUUUAUAUAAGGAGCAUUGCUUGGAUAAUGAUGAGCAUACCCUUUCUUUCUAUUUCCUCGAGAUUUAUUUUGAGUCUGAUUUUUGAUGUGUGUGGUUAGCAAGAAUUUGUUCUAGAAAUCAAGCAGUCCCAAAAUCACAUGUCUAACAAUGUAAAGAGGUUGUGAAUUAACCACCAGUUCCAGAUCCUUUUGAAAAGUAUCUUCCUGCUAAAUGAUGCAUAGAUUUAUUUGUAAUUACCCAGUAAAUGUAGCUGAGAUACCAUUUUUGUUAGUCUGAAAAUGAAGAUGGCAAAUUGUUAUUCUUCUAUUUGCUAGAUCCUUACCUUCCAAUUGAGAUUUCCAGUUACCUUUGGGGAUAGGAUGAUGUGAUGAGAAUUCUUCAGAUACUUUUGAGCAAAAAUGGCUGGACAUUUUGUGGUGUGGCAUUUGGAUAGCAAAGGUCUCCAGUCCGUUAAACAAGUCUACAAGCUUCAGGUUUAGUUGGACAAUCAAUUCCAUGGGAUGGAUGUGGGAAGUAGCUCAAUCAGUCCGGGAAACAUUGGAAGCUGUAGUGACAACUUCUGCUGCCUCAUUUGAGUUUUGUCUUGUCCUUCCAAAAUCAAGGUGUUUGCUCAGGGAGUAGACAACAAUUCUCUGGCUCUGCAUGUAAACCUGAAAGUAAGAGGGAAUAGUCAUGGAGGAUAUGAAGUGACUUGUUUGUGGACGGGAAGAUGAAGAUGGGAUCACCUUUUUUAUCUAAUGCAAAUUGAUUAAAGCAAUAUGACGAGGCCUCUAUUUGGAUUGAUGUAGAUCUGUGCUGGCAAAGAUGCAAUCGAUUAGGGCUACUGUGAACUAAUUUGGAAAUUUCCAGAACUGAAACGUUUUCAGAUCCUUGCUGGUGGUACAUGUGGAAUAACAUAAACAAAAUGCAAGGGGAUGAUCGAUGCACCACUGCCAGCGCAUGAGGUGAUGCAUAAAAUGGUGCUAUACAAUCGGAGUACCUAGAAAUUUUCAAGAAGGAAGAAAGGCAAGGAGAAGAAUGAUGAGUGAAAGCCUCGUCUGAAGGAUAUUGACAUUUUAACAUAAAUGGCUCUUAAAUUCACAGGGAUGCCUUGGCCAGUUGGGGUGUUAUCACCACAGAUAAGGGGAGGUCCUAGCUCCUCUACCGGGAAUGAAAGAUCACGUCCAUGAUGCCAUCUGAGCAGAACUGUGUGUGAUUUGGGUUGGCUACUCAACUUGGCGGGAUCAAAGUCUGUUUGGAAAUAGAUUUGCAUCUCAAUGCCAUGGAAUCGCUGACUCCUCCACAUAUGCGAGUAUAUUGGAAGAUGUUAAGGUGCAACUCAAAACUUGGUUCUCUAGGUGAGAUAUCAACCAAUGCAGAAGAGAAGCAAACAUUCAUGAGGUCAGGUAAGUUUGUAGAUUGUUUUCUCUUAAUGACUUUCUAUCGUGGGAGUUUCAUAUACUGGCGGAGGUUGCCAAUUGUAAGGGACGAAAUGCACAAUCUGCUAUCAUAAUAAAGAGGAUUCUUCCCCUCGAAACUGCAAAUGAUAUGCCAUCGUUGUAAAAGAAAGUUAUAAAAAACAUAUGAUAAACUGCCACUUUGCUUUUGAGUCCAAUGUAUUUGUUCGGAUCCCGCUUACAUCGAUAUAUAUUUAGACAAUUUUUGUUGUCAGUACUUCCCUGCAUAUGUGUUUACUGCUUCAUGCAUGCACUUCUAUGCUUCAGUUUAUGUAGUACUCUAGAAGUAGUUUUGUUCUUUCUACAAGAUGUAGAGUGCAUUUCUCACAUAUUAUUAUGUUAAUUCAGUUGUAAAUUUCUCAAAUAUUUCUACUAUUUAUCUUUUUAAGAUGGAUGGGCGCGGCGCCCACUUUUAUGAUCUAGUUUGUAAAAAUAAUCGGAGUUUUAGGAGAAGCCGAGAGAAAGGCCAUCGAGGCAGUUGGUCUUGGAUGCCUCCUACGCAUUCCUUCUGUCAAAAUCCGUUGAAACUUAUGCAGAUGGAUCGCAGAGCGGUACAAAUCCGAACUAGAUGCAUUUUUUAUUGGUAGGGAUGAUAUGGCUCAGUUGACCUUACCAGAGGUCGAACACUUACUUAGUCUUCCUGCACGGGGAAGAGCAACUCUGGUACAGAUGUUCCAUGAGAUGAAGCAAAAGAAAAAGCGGCGAAUAACUUUCCCCGAAUUGGAGUAGACAAUUAGAAAAGGAAUUAGUACAUUAAGUGAUGAGCUGCCUUUCCUUCAUGCAUUUAUUUUGUACACAAUCAGGUGUAUUCUAUACCCAAUGUUACGUCAGUGCAGACUAUAUGCCAUAUGUGGUUAUCAGGGAAGCAAUCUUGGAGAUAGUUAUCACUUGAUCAUCUAGUCUGUAAAGCAGUUAUAAUGCAGCACUUAAAGAUCCCGAAAGAGGCCUUCAGGGGAUUGUAAACGUCGAAGGGAAUCUUCCGCUGUUGCAGUUUUGGUUUUCGGAGAAAUUUCAUGUGGACAGACUUGAUGCUUCAAUCAACUACACAGGACGUGAGGCACCGCGCCUCCAAUAUUGAGAUGAGAAAAGGCUCUUAAGGUCUGCUCCAUUUUAAAUGAGCACGGUCGUGACGUUGGAGAGUACGUAUUUGAUCUAAAGGAGGUUUGGGAGCCUCCUAGGGCGUCAUCAACCAUUACCUUCUUUUGACCACUUCCUGCCAAUAUAUUCGAAGUUGGUGCUAAAGCUGCACGAGUCGUUCGUCAACAUGAGACGUGAUGUAAUUCAAGAUAAUCUACUGACUGGCAGAUCGACAAGCAUGGGGAUUAUCUUUUUUGAUUUGAACAGAAGCAAGAUGCCUUUUGUCAGCAACGAGCCAACGACUACGACGACUUUGAGCGUGGACUAGCGACGUAUGAGUCCAGAUAAUACAAGGACUUUAGCACGGAUUGAACCAAGAGUUCGAGAAAGAAGAUCAGGAUAUACGAUGAAACGACAGUACCACAGAAAAGGAAACAAAGGAAAAGGACAUCGACAUGUAAGGAUAGUGACUCCGUGUACUUUGAAGGUUGUAAGCCACCUAGAAAACCAAAAAAUACUCCAAAUACUAAUACUACAAAAUCAUAUAGUAGUACUCCAGUUGAAGAUGUGAAAGGUGAGGUCAUUGACUAUAUCAAUGCAUUACAGCAAAACAAAAUAUUUGUGCACAUAGAUGAUUUGACGCUGAAUAAAGAGGAACUCAGCUGUCUAACAACUCCCGCAAUUCACACAUGUACAGAAGAAGGAUGGUUGCACACCCUGUAAGUGCUUAAUUAUGUAAGUGCUUAAUUAUGAAAGUCAGUUUCUAUUUUACGUCAUGAAUGCUAACUUGUUCUUGUGGUGUCAUUCAACUCAGGGAUACAAUCAUAACAUGGAUGUGUCACAUGUGCCCAAUCCAGAUAUAAGGGCAGGUCGCACCGUCUACAUGAAGAGAGCAUCCAGAGUGGACUUACUAGUUAGAGAUGAGGAGUGAUGCAUAUAACAUGGAUGUACGAAACACGAAUCAUGGUAACCUACAUUUUCCAUGACAUGGUGAGUCUCAUUGUGUCAAGUUCUAUACAUUGCUAAUUAUGUUUCUGCCACAGAUUUGUCUAAUAGUGAACUAUGACAAUAUACACUCGUAUGUGGUUAAUGUGGAUCCCGAAGAAAGACUAAUACACGUUUUGGACUCCAUGCGAUAAAGAAACAAAAAACUUCAAAAAAGCCACCCAGAACUAGCAAAGAUGGUAAGUCCAUUCAACCGUUGCUAUAAACAAUUGUGCUAAGCUAAAUAAUAUUAUAUUUUCAUACUUACAACUCAAAGGAAUGGAAGCAUAUCUAGACGUAACAUCUCAACAUGACUGCGGAAAGAGUGAUAUCUGGCCUGAUUACGCCGUUAAUAGUUGGCCAGUUCAAGUUGUAAAGAAUGUGCCACAACAAAAAGACAGGUAUAUUGCAUCAUAUUUUAACCACACCUUUACAAUUUCUAGCUUCCUACUAUAAAUAUUGAUUACAAUACAAUCUACAUGAUUUUUUUUGCAGAAUUCAUGUAGAUUGUCCGCAUAAAUUCUGCAAAAAAAAACCAUGUAGAUUGUAUUGUAAUCAAUAUAUACAGUAAGAAACUCAGAAUUUUAAAGGUGUGGUUAAAAUAUAAUGCAAUGUACCCGUCUUUUUGUUAUGGCACAUUCUUUACAACUUAAACUGACCAACUAUUAACGGCGUAAUCAGGCCAACUAUCACUCUUUUUCGCAGUCGUGUCGAGAUGUUACAUCCAGAUGUGCUUCUAUUAUUUUGAGCUAUAAGUAUGAAAAUAUAAUAUUAAUUAGUUUAACACAAUUGUUUAUAGCAACUGUUGAAUGGACUUACCAUCUUUGCUAGUUCUAGGUGGGUUUUUUUUGAAGUUUUUUGUUUCUUUACGCAUGAAGUCCAAAACUUUUUUAGUUUCUCUUCGAAAUUCACAUUGACCAUGUACCAGUGUAUAUUGUCAUAGUUCACUGGUAGACAAAUCUGUAGCAAAACCAUAAUUAGUGUUCGAGCAUUUGAGUAAAUAACAUACAGAACUAACACAUGGAAAAUGUAAGUUUUUCCCAUGCUGAGUACCAUGAUUCUUGUUUCAUACAUCCCUUUUAUAUGCAUCACUCCUCCCAUCUCUAACUAACUAGUAAGUCCACUCUUGAUGCCCUCUGCAUGUAGACUGUGCGACCUGCACUUAUAUCUAGAUUGGGGCGCAUGUGACGCAUCCAUGUUAUGACUGUAUCCAUGAGCUGAAUGGCACCCCAAGAACAAGUUAACAUUCAUGACGUAAAAUAGAAACCAGCUAUUUUUCAUAAUUAAUCACUUACAGGGAUGUGCAACCAUCCUUCCGUAAACGUGCGAAUUGCAGGAGAUGUUAGACAGAUGAGUUCCUCUUUAUUCAUCGUCAAAUCAUCUAUGUGCACAAGUAUUUUGUUUUCCGGUGAUGCAUUGAUAUAGUCAAAUAGUUAAUAACCUCACCUUUCACUUCUUCAACUGGAGUACUACUAUAUGAUUUUGUAGUACUAGUCUUUGGAGUAUUUUUUGGUUUUCUAGGUAGCUUAGAGUAUUCGAAGUACACGAAGUCACUAUUCUUACAUGUUGAUGUCCUUUUCCUUUGUUCCCUUUUCUGUGGUACUGUCGUGUCAUCAUGUAUCCUGAUCUUAUUUCUGGGUGAGGAGAGGACGUUGUCACUUGGCCUUUUAUUUUUGAUGUUGUUCGAGUCAGUACACUCUAGGUAAGAUGUAGGAGUUCAUUAGAAAAAGUUUGUAUUUACUAUCACGAAUAGUGUAGCCAUUUACCUCGAACUCUUUGUUCAAGUCACGGACAAGCAUGAGGGAGGUUCUGUCUGCUGAAAUCCUUGUAUUAUAUGUAAUCAUACAUCACCAGUCUACGUUCAAAGUCGUCGUAGUCCUGCAUGAAUCCAUGCAUAAAUAUUAUUCCGUUGUAUAUGUAGGGGAAAAGUACUGUGGUUCAUUUCAAUAGGUUUGAGUCUUACAUUGGCUCGUUGCUGACAAAAGGCAUUUAGCUCCUGUUCAAAUUUAAAAAGAUAAUCGCCAUGCUUGUUGAU